AUGUUAGCUUAGAAGCAGCUAUUCAUUCAAAGAGUGCGGAAUAGCUCACUAGUCGAGUGACCCUGCGCCGAAAAGGUACCGGGGCUAAAACAAUUUACCGAAGCUGUGGAUACCUUUAUAGGUAUGGUAGGAGAGCGUUCUAUGUGUGAUGAAGGUAUACCGUGAGGAGUGCUGGAACGCAUAGAAGUGAGAAUGCCGGUAUGAGUAGCGAAAGACAGGUGAGAAUCCUGUCCACCGUAAGACUAAGGUUUCCAGGGGAAGGCUCGUCCGCCCUGGGUUAGUCGGGACCUAAGGAGAGACCGAAAGGUGUAUCCGAUGGACAACAGGUUGAUAUUCCUGUACUAGAG
rnacentral:rRNA from 1 species